rnacentral:rRNA from 1 species
GUGAGGAAUAUUGGUCAAUGGGCGGGAGCCUGAACCAGCCAAGUCGCGUGAAGGAAGAAGGAUCUAUGGUUCGUAAACUUCUUUUGCAGGGGAAUAAAGUGCGGGACGUGUCCUGUUUUGUAUGUACCCUGAGAAUAAGGAUCGGCUAACUCCGUGCCAGCAGCCGCGGUAAUACGGAGGAUCCGAGCGUUAUCCGGAUUUAUUGGGUUUAAAGGGUGCGUAGGUGGUUUGAUAAGUCAUCGGUGAAAGUUUGCAGCUUAACUGUAAAAAUGCCGUUGAAACUGUCGGACUUGAGUGUAAAUGAGGUAGGCGGAAUGCGUGGUGUAGCGGUGAAAUGCAUAGAUAUCACGCAGAACUCCGAUUGCGAAGGCAGCUUACUAAGCUACAACUGACACUGAAGCACGAAAGCGUGGGGAUCAAACAGGAUUAGAUACCCGAGUAGUCC